CCCCUUCUCUUUCUUUCUUUGUCACUGAACCUGAAGCUCCUGUCAGUGGGUUAGGAUGGCUGGACAGUGAGUUCCAGCAAUCGCACUCUGGGCCUGGCUUUUCCAUGGAUGCUAAGGAUCUUAGUCAGGUCCAACGUGAGGAUGUGGUAUACCAGGCACCGUAUCCAGCGAGCCAUCUGCAUGGCCCAAGAGCUUACCUUUCAUUGCAUCAUGCUACUUGAAAACACACAUGUUAUAUCUUUGGAGGCAAAGGGAGAGAUGACUUUGCGAAACAGGCAAAAGGGCGGGAAAACAGCCCGCCCAGAAGACAUUUUAGAUAAUUCCAGAAAAGAACCACCUACUUUCAUGCAAGGGUAGGCACACGGAGCACCAGAGUGACAUCCUGCGGGGCUUCCUGAAGACGGAAGAGAUGGAAUCACUCCUGAGGACUUCUAACCCCUGAACACCCUCCAGGGGUUGACAGUAUCCUAUGGGGAUCUGGGGAGUGGCUUGCCGAGUAAAGGACCGGCCGUGCAAACAUCAGCACCCAAGAUUGAGCCCACAAACCAGCAUUAAGAAGCGCCUGCCUGACAGACCAGUUCCCACCGGAUUUUGCUCUAACUCUGCAAGCCUGACCUUGACACCUUGACCUGACCCAUUCUUCUGAGCUGUUUGUACAUUCCCAGCAUCUUGGCUCCUUUCCUCCUAAGACCUGGACUGAGGCUGACCCAGGUCCUGCUCCUUCAGGGUGAACAACGAAAAGCUCAGAAAGAAUGUGGUCCUGGUGUGCUGAUGAUGGCUUUAGGGACAGAACUGAGCAGCUGCGGACUACGGCGGACCAGUGUGGCCCUUGGACGAAUGGAAAACUUUCAAGCCAGCAUUUCAAAUCAGACUUGUUACUGGAACAGGUGAAUACGUGAUCUUUUCCAGUGACAAGCAGGGGAUAACUCCAUUUUUUUGAUCCCUGCCUCCUCCACAGGCUGGACUAGAAUUUCUUCUAUGUAGCUGAACUUGAACUUGGGGCUGCUUCCCAGGUGCUCAGAUUACAAGUGUGUGCCACCAUGCUGGUUUACGGGGUGCUGGGGAAUGGAAUCCACACUAUACGCACGUCAGGCAAGCAUCUCCCAACUGAAAUACAUUCCUAGCUGCCAGCAAGGAUUCUUUUAAAACAUUUUUUUUUUAGCUAUGCAAAGAGGUUUUGAUUUUAUGUAAAGCUCCUGCGUUGGGGAGCAUUCCUGAGGCAGGUCACGUGGAGGUGAGACUUCCAUGGAGGUGUUUGACACCUUCCGCAGGGACCCUGGGCUGUGUGAGUGGGGACAGGGCCUGAGCAGCAGUAUGGAAGCAUCCUUUCUUCUCCUCUGAGUUGUGAUGUAACCAGAUGCUCCAAGUUCCUUAUCCUUGACGUUCCUGACAUCAUGGACGAUAACUCAGAGCCGUAAGCCCAAAUAGACCCUUGGGUUUACCUGGAAGCUGCUUUGCCAGAGUAUUUUGUCAUAGAAACCACAGAAGAAAUAAAGACGGGGCCGUUUUGGGGUAUGAGGUUCACUGUCAUGGUCUCACAGCGCUUCGGUUCAGGCAACCCCCAACAAAAGCUGGCACUGAUGAUGUCACCGAUGUCACUGAUGGCAGUUGGACAGAACAAGGGAAGCUGUGAAGGGCUUCCUUCAAGAUCCUGGCUUCAUAAGUGAAUAAAAGUGACCGUAUGCUGAGGCGGCCACAACCUGCAGUAAGAAUGAAGCCCCUCUCUACCUGAGAAACUGCAAAAGAGAAAGAAAGCUGCCAGUUUGACUGUCAUGCCUCAAGCUGCCAAAAAUUACAUCUGUGAGUGCUUAAUAAGUGCUUCAGAGAGAAGGACAUUAAAUUGCUCAAGGAAGGCAUGAAUAGCAAAUGCUUUCUGAUUGACAGCAAUGUGUUAUUCCAGAAAGUAUUAAGUAUAGAUGAAGACUUGAGCAAGGGAGCCCUUGAAAUGAGUGACAUCGUGGUACUUACUACAAUAGGAGAUGAUUAUAUAGAUCCAGAAAUGAGUUUGAACCAAAAAAAAUGUAAAAAAAUUUAUUGGAGAGGGCUGGGGAUAUAGCUGCAAUGCUUGCCUGUCCCCAGGUUUCACCCUCAGCAUCAUGUAAACGGGGUAUGGUGCUCAUGUCUGUCAUUCCAGCACUCUGGAGGAAGAGACGGGAGGAUCAGGACUUUGAGGUCCUUCCUGGGUAUACAGCAAGUUCAAAGUCAGCCUGGGUUGUAUGACAUUAUUUAUGUAUCUAUCUCCAUGUCUGUCUGUCUAGUUACCUGUCUACAUACGUGUUUAUAUCACCGGAGACAGUAUCUUCCCAUGAAGAUGCUGUUGUCUUACUCUGGCAAGGCUGAAGAAGCUGAUGGACAGAGAGGAUAAAGUCUUCAAUUGCAAUGAAACUAGACUUUCCUGGAAGGUGUCCAGUAGGAUCUGCCUCAUGGAAGUACAAAGGAGGAACCAAGGCUAAAACAAGGGAAAAACAGAUCAACUUCAGCUGCGUGUGGCAAAACUGAAGUCAGGGUACACAGAGCAAAGAACCCAUGAGGUCUCAGAAAUAAAACUAACAAUUAACCUUGAACCUUGUGGUAUAUAUCUUCAUCCCAGCACUUGAGCGGUAGAAGCAGCAGGAUCAGGGGUUCAAGGUCAUCUUCGAACACAUAGGGAAUUGAAGACCAGUCUGGGCUACACAACCCUAGUCACCAAACAAUAACAAUGAUGGAAGCCAUAGAAAGACAUUGAUAGGAGGGGGGCUGGGGAUGAGAGUAAUAAGAAAGCAUUCUAUACAGUCUGAACACCACGAUUGGCUAAUUUACAAACUUUAUGGUGUCUAUGUGCAAGAAAAUACCGUUAGGUUUUGGUAUUGUCCACCAUUUUAGGCAUCCAUUGUGGGGAUCUUUGGAAUACCUUCCAUGGAUAGAGGAGAACAUUAUCAGAGAAACGCCCCAGUGUUUUGCUCCUAAGUGAACACUCUUCUCAAACAUCUUUUACAUCCCAGCUCCUGGUGCUUUAUGUGAAAGAGAAAAGUGUGCAUUAAAAUCUCUUAUUUUCACAACAUUUUAAACAGAUUUAACAUUCACGAUGAAUUCUGGGUAGUUGUCCGUGCAAAGAAUGUCAGUCUUUGGUCCUUAAGUCCUUUGGGUCUGGGUCUCCGAUCUGAAAGAGGCUAUUUGGACAACUCAGCUUUCCAGAUUGUCUGCUUAUGCUUGUUAAGAUCUAACUGAGAAAGGAUUAAAAUUGGAGAUCAAAUGGCAAGGUGCUCCUGUCCCAGGCCUAUGAAGGAGUUUACACAUGCUCAGGGUAUUAGAUAUGACUGACAGGUGUGUGUGUGUGUAUGUGUGUGUGUGUGUGUGUGUGUGUAGCUCAAAUGCCUUGUUCUGUUUCCCAGUCACAAAGACCCCUUUGAAAUCCAAGAAGGGAUUGAAGAGAGAAUCAGGCAGUAAAUGGCCGUGAGCAUUUUUUUUUAAUGGGUUAAAGCUUUAAUUGAUGUGGAGUAUAGGAGCGGUUUAGGUGUUCCAAGUAGGCUUUUCAACUUGUCUUCUAAAUUUAGCUGCCUGAGGAGAGACAUUAAUCUUUGUAGGUAUAUUAUUUUCCCCCUGUAUCCUCUGAUCUGAUUUUGGCUAUUAUUUAAACUUGCUUAAAUACAUUUAUUUUUAUGUAAUACCUAUAUAUGUAUUUUGGAAAAUGUAUAUAUUUUAUAUAAUUGGAUAAUAUUAAAGCAAGCUGGCUAUAAUUAAA